GGAAGAGUGGCCGAGUGGUUGAUGGCUCCAGUCUUGAAAACUGGCGUACCUGAAAGGGUAUCGGGGGUUCGAAUCCCUCCUCUUCCGCCA
rnacentral:tRNA from 7 species